UACGUAGGCAGCAAGCGUUGUUCGGAAUUACUGGGCGUAAAGAGUGUGUAGGCGGUGCUCCAAGUCUGGUGUGAAAUCUCCCGGCUUAACUGGGAGGGUGCAUUAGAAACUGGAAUGCUAGAGGAUGGGAGAGGUAGGCGGAAUUCCUGGUGUAGCGGUGAAAUGCGUAGAUAUCGGGAGGAACACCGGUGGCGAAGGCGGCGAUCUGGGUCGAUACUGACGCUGAGGUGCGAAAGCGUGGGGAGCAAACAGG
rnacentral:rRNA from 1 species